rnacentral:rRNA from 1 species
AACGAACGCUGGCGGCAUGCCUAACACAUGCAAGUCGAACGAGACCUUCGGGUCUAGUGGCGCACGGGUGCGUAACGCGUGGUAAUCUGCCCUUGGGUUCGGAAUCACAGUGAGAAAUUACUGCUAAUACCGGAUGAUGUCUUCGGACCAAAGAUUUUUCGCCCAGGGAUGGGCACGCGUAGGCUUAGCUAGUUGGUGGGGUCAUGGCCUACCAAGGCGACGAUCCUUAGCUGGUCUGAGAGGAUGAUCAGCCACACUGGUACUGAGACACAGCCCAGACUCCUACAGGAGGCAGGAGUGGGGAAUAUUGGACUAUCGGCGGAAGGCAGAACGAGCAAUGGCGGGUGAGUGAUGAAGGCCUGAGGGAUGUAAAGCUCUUUUACCCGGGAUGAUAAUGACAGUACCGGAAGAAUAAGCACCGGCUAACUCCGUG